rnacentral:rRNA from 1 species
GGAUUAGAUACCCUAUUAUUGUAAAUGUAAAUUUAAAGACUUAAGUAGUAGUAGUUAUGAUCUUGAAACUUAAAGAAUUUGGCGGUAUUUUAGUCUAUUUAGAGGAAUCUGUCCCGUAAUCGAUAGUCCACGUGGAACCUAACUUGGUUAAUAAUGUAUGUAUACCGCCGUUUAUUGAAUGUUUUUUUAGGAGAAUAUUUUCUUAAAAUUAUUGAUUAAAUUUUAUUUCAGGUCAAGGUGCAGCUAAUAAUUAAGGGGUGAUGGAUUACAAUAUUUUAAGGUAAACGAAUUAUAAUUUGUAAUAGUUAUAUAAAGGUGGAUUUAAUAGUAAUUUUUUGUAGAUUGUAGAUGUGAUUUAAGCUCUAGAAUGUGUACACAUCGCCCGUCACUCUCAUUAAAUUUAAAAGUGAGAUAAGUC